UAUCAGAAGUUUACACUCACAAUAGAAUCGCCUCCUGGUGCCACCCCUAUUGCUCUUCAUAAUACAUUUACGCUAUUAGAGCCCUUUGCUAUUAGGGGCAGUUUUCUUAUUUGCCUCUAAAGGUGGACAAAUAGGGGUGGUUAUAUUUAUUUGCCUGUAAAAGUUUAUCCAAUAGGGGCAGUAUUUGUAUAUCCGCCUCAAUAGAUAGUAUUUUCCUAACUAAAAUAUUAGAAUCACAUAUCCUAUAGGGGCAGAUUGAUUGUACGCCCCUAAAGGUUAUCCAAUAGGGGUGGUAUUUUGUGCCCUCCCCAACAAAGAUUUGUUUCCAAGUAAAAAUAUAAAGCAUCACGCCACCAUAUACCCUAUAGGGGCAGUUUUAUUUGUUCGCUGCUAAUUUUGCUACUAUAGUGGCACUUUAUUUCCCGCCCCUAAAGGGUUUUUUUUUUUUUAAAUGAAAGGAAAAAAAAAGGGCAUAAUUUAGGGCAUUCCAGCCAUUUUUUGUUUUGCUCCCGCUUUUUUCCCAAUCCCGUGGUCCCCUUCUUGAUCUCCUGCGAAACUCUAACCCCAGCUUCAUCUCCUGUUCUGUGCUUCAAUUAAUGGAGUGUUAAGCUUCCACCUUCCAAUACUGGCGAGGAAAUGGGAAAAGCUAAGGCAUAGAAGGCUAGAACCAGAACAGGACCCUCUGAUUUUGCUCUGUUUCACGAGAGAGAGAGAGAGAGAGCUAUCUGUGUAUUUCAGAAGCUAAAGAGUAAGGUUAAGCGGCGAUGAGGAGCUUCACAAGAUUGUUUACUCGAAUAGUUCGAAGUAGAAGAGAACUCCAGAGAGAAGAUAAGGCCCCGUUCUCUAGUCGUUGCCUCUUCUUUGCUUCUUCUACAAGAGCUUAUUUAUUUCAGCAGAAUCAAAACAAAUUUCUCGCUUUCAAUCCGUCAAAUUCAUUGCCUGCAUCAUCAUCCAACUUCACAAAAUGGGGCCUUUUUGGAGGAUGAUUCAUAGACAGUUGUGAUGAUCAAAAAACUACUGGAGACUCGUAUACGACCAGCAGUGCAAGAUGAUGGUGGGGACAUUGAGUAUCGAGGAUACGACCUGUAUGGUUUUCCCCCAUCUUAUCCUGUCAUGCCAUCAGAGAAGUUGACAUAAUUGGGGUGAGUUGCUUUUCUUCGAAGAAUUUAUGACGUAGAAAAUGAGGGCAUCAUGCUGGCAGGAGAAGAGAAUGAGAUCCAAGACCUUUACAAAUCAAAUUUGAUUUACAUUUCACAUGAUAGAAAAAAUGUAUCUUGCUACUUCGAAUAGAAUGGUUUUACUAUUUUUGUAAUGUUUUCAAUUUCUUUUGCUUAGGCUUAAAGAACUGAGUCUGUAGAACAAUAUUUUGAAAUGACCCACAAUCAUUUUCUCUGUCAAGACUUGUUUAAUCAUUUCAAUCAUUUCCUCUUUUGUCAA